ACGGCCGUACCAUGCUGAAUAUACCGGUUCUCGUUAGAUCACCGAAGUCAAGAGCAUCAUUGGGCGCGGUCAGUACUUGGGUGGGUGACCACCUGGGAACACCGCGUGCCGUU